GACGAACGCUGGCGGCGUGCCUAAUAAAUGCAAGUAGAACGCAGUGGGGACGGGUGAGUAACACGUGGGUAACCUACCAUCAGAGGGGAUAACACUUGGAAACAGGUGCUAAACAGCUACUGAUGGAGGGACCCGCGGUGCAGUAGCUAGUUGGUUAGGUAACGGAUCACCAAGGCCACGAUGCAUAGCCGGCCUGAGAGGGUGAUCGGCCACACUGGGACUGAGACACGGCCCAGACUCCUACGCGAGGCAGCAGUAGGGAAUCGUCGGCAAUGGACGAAAGUCUGACCGAGCAACGCCGCGUGAGUGAAGAAGGUUUUCUGAUCGUAAAACUCUGUUGUUAGAGAAGCGGUAUCUAACCAGAAAGCCACGGCUAGCUACGUGCCAGCCGCCGCGGUAAUAC
rnacentral:rRNA from 1 species